AAACUAUCAAGCCUGGCUUGGUCUUGGGCGCGGUCUUGGGACCCGCCCGCAACCCGUCGGCGGUGCCGGUUCGGCCCUGAGCGUAGCAGAGAUACUCGUUCUAGGGCCGCGGCGGCGCCCGCCAGCAAGUUUUUACCUACG
rnacentral:misc_RNA from 1 species